rnacentral:rRNA from 1 species
UACGAAGGGGGGCUAGCGUUGCUCGGAAUCACUGGGCGUAAAGGGUGCGUAGGCGGGUCUUUAAGUCAGGGGUGAAAUCCUGGAGCUCAACUCCAGAACUGCCUUUGAUACUGAGGAUCUUGAGUUCGGGAGAGGUGAGUGGAACUGCGAGUGUAGAGGUGAAAUUCGUAGAUAUUAGGAAGAACACCAGUGGCGAAGGCGGCUCACUGGUCCGGUACUGACGCUGAGGUGCGAAAGCGUGGGGAGCAAACAGG